AAAUUGAAGAGUUUGAUCAUGGCUCAGAUUGAACGCUGGCGGCAGGCCUAACACAUGCAAGUCGAGCGGCAGCGGAAAGUAGCUUGCUACUUUGCCGGCGAGCGGCGGACGGGUGAGUAAUGUCUGGGAAACUGCCUGAUGGAGGGGGAUAACUACUGGAAACGGUAGCUAAUACCGCAUAACGUCGCAAGACCAAAGAGGGGGACCUUCGGGCCUCUUGCCAUC
rnacentral:rRNA from 3 species